ensembl:lncRNA
GUAAGUAGCAUCAUCAGUACCAUUUUUCUAGAUUUCGUAUAUAAGCAUUAAAAUGCGAUAUUUGCGUUUUUCUUUCUGACUGACUUCACUCUGCAUGACAAGCUCUAGGUUUACCCGCAUCACUGGAACUGACUCAAUUUUGUUCCUUCUUAUGGCUCAGUAAUACCUCACUGUGGGCUUCUCAGGUGGUGCUGGAGGUAAAGUACCCGCCUGUCAGAGCAGGAGACGUAAGAGACUCGGGUUCGAUCCCUGGACGGGGAAGGUCCUCUGGAGGAGGGCGCGGCAACCCACUCCAGUAUUCUUGCCUGGAGAAUCCCGUGGACAGAGGAGACUGGCGGACUGCAGUCCAUGGGGUCGCCGAAUUAGAAAUGACUGAAGCAAAUUAGCACGCACUCUAUGUAGGGUAAGGGAGCUAGAGAAGGCGAAGUUCGGAAAAAGACCAAGACCGGUGCUUUAUGGGAACAGAUCACCUUUAAUGAGGCGAGAAAGGGCAGCAGUGAGACUAGCGAGCUGCUGCACUAACCUAAGAAGUGAGUCCUAUUUGCGGCAUGUGGGAUCUAGUUCCCCAACAGGAAUCAAAUCCGGGCGCCCUGGAACAGAAGCGUGGAGUCUUAGCCAUUGGACCACCUGGGAAGUCCCAGGCAAAGCGUUUUAAAAAGCCAGGUACUUCAGAGAAGAGCUGAAGCAGAGGAUGUGAGGAAGGCCCGUCUCAGUCCUGGGAAGGCCCCGAGGGGUCCUGCUCGGUUACAGUGAACUGGAUCGCACCCUGCCUGGCAGUAGAAAAGAGUAGCUCCAAGGGUCUGAAGGCAAGGAAAGGAUUGUAAAGGUGGAGGUUCCAGAGGAAACAUGCCUUGUUGAUGUUCAUCCAGCCGCGUUUGGGAGCGUAGAAACGACCUGCAAGCAAAGUGCAGGGGCCGGGUUGGCGCUCCCUGUUCAUGCAUCACGGCGCCUCUGAAACUUCCUGUUAGGUGUACGUGGGUGCAGUCAGGGACCCUCCGGGGACAGCUUUACAGCUUUUCAAGAGCUUCUGGUAAAUUAACUAAU